rnacentral:rRNA from 1 species
GGGAUAUUGGACAAUGGGGGGAACCCUGAUCCAGCGACGCCGCGUGAGUGAAGAAGUAUCUCGGUAUGUAAAGCUCUAUCAGCAGGGAAGAAAGAAAUGACGGUACCUGAGUAAGAAGCCCCGGCUAACUACGUGCCAGCAGCCGCGGUAAUACGUAGGGGGCAAGCGUUAUCUGGAAUUACUGGGUGUAAAGGGAGCGUAGACGGUGAUGUAAGUCAGCGGUGAAAUGCCCCCGCUCAACGGGGUGAAGUGCCAUUGAUACUGCCUUGCUGGAAUGCGGAUGCCGUGGGAGGAAUGUGUGGUGUAGCGGUGAAAUGCAUAGAUAUCACACAGAACACCGAUUGCGAAGGCAUCUCACGAAUCCGCGAUUGACGCUGAUGCACGAAAGCGUGGGUAUCAAACAG